CCUAACUUUACAAGGGAGAAUAGGAAUGACGGAGCCACGUUUCCAGAAACUAUUCCAUCAACACUCCUGCGUGCGUUAUAACUAACAGGUUAUAGGGUUCGAAGCACAGGUAGAUUCGGUUGAAUGAAGGCUAAAGCCAUCAAAACAGAAGGGUAUGCUAACAGAUAGACCGCAUGGCUGAAAA
rfam:Bacillus okhensis strain Kh10-101 contig57, whole genome shotgun sequence.